rnacentral:rRNA from 1 species
GUACGGGUUGUGAGGGCAAGAGCCCGGAGAUGGAACCUGAGACAAGGUUCCAGGCCCUACGGGGUGCAGCAGGCGCGAAACCUCCGCAAUGUGAGAAAUCGCGACGGGGGGAUCCCAAGUGCCAUUCUUAACGGGAUGGCUUUCCAUUAGUGUAAAGAGCUUUUGGAAUAAGAGCUGGGCAAGACCGGUGCCAGCCGCCGCGGUAACACCGGCAGCUCUAGUGGUAGCAACUUUUAUUGGGCCUAAAGCGUCCGUAGCCGGUUUAAUAAGUCUCUGGUGAAAUCCUGUAGCUUAACUGUGGGAAUUGCUGGAGAUACUAUUAGACUUGAGACCGGGAGAGGUUAGAGGUACUCCCAGGGUAGAGGUGAAAUUCUGUAAUCCUGGGAGGACCGCCUGUUGCGAAGGCGUCUAACUGGAACGGUUCUGACGGUGAGGGACGAAAGUUAGGGGCGCGAACCGGAUUAGAUACCCGGGUAGUCCUAACUGUAAACGAUGCGGACUUGGUGUU